UCCCCCAUGAAGGGUUUGGGACACCUACCAGGCCACACAACCUGUGACAUACAAUUUUCUUGCCUACAAGAUGGGAGAAGAUGAAUCUGGAGCAGAAACUGAAGGAGUGGCCAGACAAUGAUGGAUCCAGCUUGAGAUCUAUGCCAUGAGAAAGAAUGUACCCCUGUCAUGAUUACCCCAAAUAUGAGAGGAAUACUGAAUAAUUAUUUGUGCAUUAAUGUUAAUAAAAUCACUCAUCAUAAACCCCAUCAGCUAAGAUAGACAGAUAUCUCCUGCUCAUUUGAAAGCCGUAGCUACAAGACCAGGCCUUGAAAUAAUUUAUCUUCAUUUUGUUGAAGUAUAACAACCUAUUUUCCCACAAUUGGUCACAGUGAAGUUAUCAGGAAAUUGUGAGAGCCAAAGUCCAGUGGAUACAUCUACGUCACCAUUCCUGCUUCUAUGGCUCAGGAAAUAUCACAGAAUAAGAGGCAAAAGGAGUGAAAAAGACAAAAUAAUAUGGAGUAUACUGUGAAACAGUCUCCUAGAAAUAGCAACAUAACCCAGACCAGAACAAUGACAAAAGCAAGAGACAUACUAAUAUAAAAGUUGGAAAACUGCAUGGUUUCUAUUCAUAAGCACUACAUAAAGAAUUACAAGCAAUUA